CGUAGAUAUUAGAAGGAACACCGAUGGCGUAGGCAGGCUACUGGGCUGUUUCUGACACUGAGGCACGAAAGCGUGGGGAGCGAACCGGAUUAGAUACCCCGGUAGUCCACGCCGUAAACGAUGGAUACUAGCAGUUUUGGGUAUCGACCCCCGGAGUUGCGAAGCUAACGCGUUAAGUAUCCCACCUGUGUAGUACGAUCGCAAGAUUAAAACAUAAAGGAAUUGACGGGGACCCGCACAAGCGGUGGAGCGUGAUCUUUAAUUCGUCGGUAAACGAUAAACCUUACCAAGGCUUGACAUCCGAUGUAGGCUCUCGAAAGAGAACUGUGCCUUCGGGAACAUCGAGACAGGUGAUGCAUGGCCGUCGUCAGCUCGUGUCGUGAGAUGUUUGGUUAAGUCCAUCAACGAGCGCAACCCUUGCAACCAGUUGUAUUUUUCUGGUAGGACUGCCCCGGUAACGGGGAGGAAGGAGGGGAUGAUGUCAGGUCAGUAUUUCCCUUACGCCUUGGGCUAGAAUCGCGCUACAAUGGCCGGUACAAUGCGAAGCGAAGCAGUGAUGUGAAGCAAAUCGCACCAAAGCCGGUCCCAGUUCGGAUAAAAGGCUGAAACUCGCCUUUUUGAAGUCGGAAUCGCUAGUAAUCGCAGAUCAGCAUGUUGCGGUGAAUACGUUCCCGGGUCUUGUACACACCGCCCGUCAAACCAUGAGAGUCACCAACACCCGAAGUCCGCCUCGGCGGCCUAAGGUGGGGGAGAUGAUUGGGGUUAAGUCGUAACAAGGCAUCGGUACG
rnacentral:rRNA from 1 species